GAAGACAGCCACCCCCUCUCUCCGACCUGACAGGUAGGGGCAGGUAGGCGUUUACGGUCGGGCUGGAGUUUGUACUUCUGCAUUGAGCGUCGCAAGGAGUUCUGAGCCUGCACCCUAGUGGAACGGAGUUCCCGGAGAUGUUCCUCCAAUGCUGGUAUCCCUUGUGGCAAUAACAUAUGGACGGUUGAAACCCAUAGUUCGCCAAGAACUGGG